GGCGUCAUCGCGCACAUAACGGUAAGGCUGGUAAUGGUGUGGCUUUCGAAAAUCCAACAUACACACGCGGUCUGGAGCAAGUUCAGCUGCCCACAGUGACAUCGGUCGCCACGCAUGCCGGUACCACCGCCCAAUCGGCGCAACGUGAUGGCAUCGUCAACGAUGCGAACGCGGACGCGCACACACAAUGCAACGAAGUAGAUCCGACAAUUUACGAAGAGCUCAAACUUGGCCAAGAAGGUGCUGGAUUCAAGAAACUUGUGCCAUAAAUGCCAAAAUGUCCAAUAAAACUCAAACACAAACAAGCACACACACUCACACGGGUGUACACAUACAAAAAAAUGCUUAUAUAUACACAAAAAAAAGGUUGAAGUGAUUACAAAAACAAACGAAAUGACAAAAAGUUGAAUGAAAAAAGCUGCUUAGCUAACGGUACAAGCAACAGCUAGCCAAUGCGAGCAAAACUAUAACAGCGACACACAUACAAACGCACAAAAAACAUAGAAACUCAAGUCACACACACGAAAGCAUUUUCGCACGCACACUAUUACAAAAGUCGUAGCUAGCAGCUGCUGGUAUUUUUAUUAUAGUUGUAUGACGCUAGCAUACUUAGGCGUAUACGUAACUUUUUAAAUGCAAAAAAAAAAAUCACAAAAUAAUUAGAGAAAA